rnacentral:rRNA from 1 species
GACGAACGCUGGCGGCGUGCUUAACACAUGCAAGUCGAACGGAAAGGCCUGCUUUCCCUUGUGGAUUGCGGGUACUCGAGUGGCGAACGGGUGAGUAACACGUGAGUGAUCUGCCCCCAACUUGGGUAUAAGCCUGGGAAACUGGGUCUAAUUCCCGAUAGGACUGCAGGGUGGUGCCUGUGGUGGAAAACGAUUUUCUAGUGGUUGGGGAUGAGCUCGCGGCCUAUCAGCUUGUUGGUGGGGUAAUGGCCUACCAAGGCGGCGACGGGUAGCCGGCCUGAGAGGGUGGACGGCCACAUUGGGACUGAGCUACGGCCCCGACUCCUACGGGAGGCAGCAGUGGGGAAUAUUGCACAAUGGGCGGAAGCCUGAUGCAGCGACGCCGCGUGGGGGAUGACGGCCUUCGGGUUGUAAACUCCUUUCGACCGCGAGGAAGCCACCUGGUUGGAAGGGUGGUGACGGUAGUGGUAGAAGAAGCACCGGCUAACUACGUG